rnacentral:rRNA from 1 species
UACGGAGGGGGCGAGCGUUAUUCGGAAUUAUUGGGCGUAAAGGGCGCGUAGGCGGCCUAUUAAGUCAGGGGUGAAAGACGGUAGCUUAACUAUCGCAGUGCCUUUGAUACUGAUAGGCUUGAAUGUACUUGAGGUAGGCGGAAUGUGACAAGUAGCGGUGAAAUGCAUAGAUAUGUCACAGAACACCAAUUGCGAAGGCAGCUUACUAAAGUAUGAUUGACGCUGAGGCACGAAAGCGUGGGGAUCAAACAGG